rnacentral:lncRNA from 1 species
CGGCGGCGGCGGUGGACACCACUCAGCCGUGCACCAAAGACGAGGAGGAGGACUGUGCCAUGCUGACGGCCUUGGGGGGGCGUGGUGUCCUGAGGCCAACCUCCAAAACUCAGAGUUCACCAAGAAACUGGAGGAGUUUUUGUUCUGCAUGGAGGACACUCAUCCAGAGGACGUGUGCAGUGAUGCCGACGCCACCGCCGCCAACCUGACGGAGCAGUGCGAGCUGAUCAGCGACCGCCUCAUGACCUUGGAGGAUGAGUUACAGACGGCGAUGCAGAACCGGGACCAGACCCUGGCCCAUAUCCUUUACCCCCAAACGGGAACCUUCGAUUUCCUCUCCGCGCCGUGGCGUAUCGUUGUGGCUUAAUUUCCUCGUGACAUUGCGACUCGUACAAAGUACAAAUCCGCAGUGGUUUUGGGCCCAAGGGGGCGGGUCCACCUGUCACCGUGGAAACCCAGCCGCUCUUAUCUGACGUUAUGAAGGGCGUGGAGAUAAAUCUGGAUCAGAGCAAGGUUAGAAUAGUUUGGGAUUUUUCAUUAUAGUUUAGUUUUAUUUAGUUUUGACUUCUUUUUCUCUAAUUCAGUUAGUUUUAAUUAGUUUUUAGAGCAGGUUUGCUAGUUUUUAUUAGUUUUGUUUUUUCUUAAUGUUUAGUUUUAGUUUAGUUUUAAUUUUUUUCAUAUUUUUUCUCUUCCUCACCGUCGUAUUCAACAAAAUUCCAUACAGGACUCUGCUGCUUUCUCCCAAGUGUCAUAUGGUGCCGUUAGCUAAAAUUGCUAGAGCGAAAUAAAUCGAUUUCAUAUCAAUCCAACAUUGACAAAGACGAAAACGAAGGGAAUUUUAUCCAUAAUUUUUUAUCUGUUUUGUUAGUUUUAUAAGCAC